UUCUUUCCCUUUUCAACCAAAUUUAACUGUGGUCAGAAUUUAAAGGAACUUAAAAGAUUGUGAGUUUGUGCUUCAUUCUACUCUGCUUCUAUGAAGUGGCCCUAUUUAAAAGCACAAGGUGCUCUAGGAGUGAGUCAUCACAUUACCAACAUUACCUCACUGCUUCUGAUGCUGUGGAGGUUGAAGCAGGGGAGCUAACAGAAAACAGAGAGCAGGAAAUUGGAAACUGAGGUCCUCUUUGGUUAAGCGUUGACCACAGGUAGAAUAAUUUGCAUUGCAAUUGAUUAUCAGAACUUAUUUUAUAGAUGACUUGUGAGCUAUUCCCACAAAAUGUGUGGUUAUAUGCUAUAUAUUGCCAUGUUAAACACAUUAGGGCCAAUGAUGUAGCUGGCAGCUUCAAAAGGUUAAUUUGAUUCAGAAACCUCAGGUGUUGCUUGACUGAAACAAAUGGUUUUCCUACCAUCACCAAUGAAGGCCAUAGAAGAAAGUGAGCUAAAAUUUGGGUGCAGGGACCCUGGGACACACCCUUUGGGCAGAUGAUAUAAAUAAACUUGGUCUCCUCUUUAUGCAUGCAGGAACUAAGUUGACAGGGAUUCAAAUGACUUGCCACUACUCUAAUACUCUUCCUUACACUGGCUUGUACAGAUCAUGGUAGCAGAUGAAGGAUUUCAUGGCUUUACCAAGAUGCUCAAACAAUACUUCACUUUUGCUGCGUGAAGGCUAACUCCAUGCUCCCUAGGACAGCAAGGUUUACAAGGUUUCUAAAGGGGUUUGAGAUCUCGGAAAGGAACUUGCAUAUAACUAAAAGGCUGCCCAGGAAAUCAGGUAUGUAUGUAGACUGGGAGAGAGUAAAUAAAUUGGCAUGGGUGGAAGCUGAAAUGGAUCUUUGAAAGAGGCAAUGAGCAUCAUCACCUGAAUUAUUUAACUUGUGAAUUUUUGCUUUUCUGAUCUGCAUUGUUGUAAUUAAUGGACUCCAUCACAGGUUUGUACCAGUUUUCUUAGUGAAACAGUGGCAAAGUCUAAUAGCUGUGCUAAUGUCAAGCUGGACCUUAAUUAGUCAGCUGAAUUCCUGGACAGUACAGUGCCAGAAAGCAAGCUAAGGGUUAAAGUGUGGAUAUUCAAACACUAGGCUACAACCCCUUUCCUGGUGUUGUUUACUUCACAGAUAUGUAUGUAGCUGUCUGCCAAAGCUGUAGCUUUCCCAUAGUCAUAUUUAUCUAUAGGGUAAUGAAUCAGACAGAAAAUCAACGCGACAUUUCAAAUAUGGUCUCAUUAGUGCCCUUGUUUAGUGUCAAGAAUAAAUAUCAAGCAAAUUGCUCAGCAUUUCUCUUCUCACUUUCUGGAAUUAUAUUUUCCUUGUCUUAUUGCCUUUACACAUUGUGUUGGAUUUGAUUCUAGCCACUAACCCUAUAAUUCUUUUCUUGCUAUGUGCUUUAUGGUUAUGAUCUUUGACUGGCUAUUUCUUUAUUUGUCCCACAGACGACUAAUUUGCAUCUCCUCCUCUGAGUUGUAUAAGCUGCUUACUCAUCCCCCACUCCUUCUGCAGAGUUGCUGCAGACUUUGCUGCACUCCCUGAGUCACAUGAAGCAGGUGAGAAUGGUACACUGCCACUGAAUCAGUGGAUAUAAAGAAGCAAUCUCUAGUGGCACAAUCAGUUAAAGUUAUUUCUUACUUUGGACAAAAGAAGAACUAGGAGUGGGGAUGCCAACUAUGGUAGUCUAUGCUUUUUCAUCUUUACAUGGCCCACUUCCCUCCAAGUUGCAAUUUCUUUGAUUCUUCUGGAUCUGUGGCUUCUGUUGACCUUUUAUUCACGCCUGCCAACACUAGCUUCUUUUCAAAGAAGUCAAAUGUUGAUUGGGACAACUUUAGAUUUUCACAAUGGAAAAUUACCUUAGAAGUACUAAAAUUACUUCUUUCUUGAUUGAUUUUUUCUUUCCUUUUUUUUUUUCCUGACCUGCUUUGGCUUCAUGCAAUAGCAUACAAGUCAAGAAACAACAGCCAUGUGGAACUGUCAUUGGCAGCUCCCUGUGCUGACUGAUAACAAAAAAAUAACAACAACUUUCUUAAAUACAUAAUUUUAAAAAAAAGUUUACCAGAUUUUUCUUAAUAAAAUCUGUUUCUUUAGCAUACUAAUAUUAAAAAGUCCCGGAAAUGUUAAUUUAUAAGGGAAAACUGUUAUUGUCAUUACAUUUGGUGCUUACAUUUUUAAUGUUGCUUUUUUUUCCUUUAGGGUUUUCUUCAGGGAUGAAAGACAGGAUGUUCUUUCAGUAAAUGAUUUUCACCUGCUGUUGUUGACCCCGAACGACUAGAAUAACCUUACCUGCUAAAAUAAUUUCAGCUGAAAGCUAGUGAUUGACAUUCAUAAUUUUUAAGGGAUAAUAACUACAAGCUGCCUUUCAAUAAAAAGGGAUACAUUAGAGGAAGGUUUUGUUUCUUGACAUCUUCAGUGACUGUUUCACAAAAUGGUGUGUCAGGACUGCCGUAGUUCCUGGAGCGGGGGAAAAGCUGCAGAAGUCCCUGUGGAGACAGCCGGCAGUAACCUGCACUGCUUUGGUACUUGGGCUGAAAGGAGAAAGUGUGAAAGAGAGAAUGAUCAUCUCUGUCACUCCUACCAAUUCUCCUGUGCUGCACAUACUGAUGCAGCCACCUGGACACAUAUUGGAGAAAACCAUGUAUUAUGUAGGAGUGUGAAGCAUUCUGUGGGUUUGACCAGACACAUGGCUUUCAAUUCCUGCCUUUUGCGUAUGGGCAGGGAACAAGAUCAUCUUGAGAAGGCUGAUGAGAAGUUAAGCUACGAAUUUAAAACCAUAAGUUUAGAAGAAAUUGCUCCACUGAACCUACUUUGUCAUUCAAAUCAUAAGGGAAAGUCUCACCUCAUCAACAGCCCACAGAUAAUCAAGGCAGAAAAAAGUUACUCAGUUUCUUCUUAUGAGUUUGUUUGUUUGUUACCCUAACCAAUCUGCAUUUAUCAGAUGCUACUGCUAUUUUCUCCCAGUUUAGCUUUUUUGUGGGAGGUUGUCUUAUACGUGGAAUUAGCUGAAAUUUUGAGCCAGAUAUAUUAUCAUCUGCUGUAGUGUAAGUCUAGGGAUGUCUGUUGUUUCAUUAAGUAAAUUGCCUCAGCUUUUCAGGCCCAACUACAACUAGACUUUGAUCUAUUAGUACUUACAGGCUCAUUAGAUCUAGUAGCCCUGGGCAAAGGAUCUUCAACAUUAUUGACCUUUUGGUUCAAUCACAUUACAGUCUUGUAUCCUCAUUUGAAAGGUUGUUGAGUUCAGCAAAUGUAUAAUUAUGAACAUCAUCAUUCACAGAUCAGCUCUAAUCAUUAUGCAUUUCAGUUUUUCUUUGAAAGAAAACAAAAACCAGGGGUUGCCUUUUUUAAAAAAAAAAAUAUUUAAAUGUCCAAAUAAUUUGUUCACAGAUCGUAGAAUAGUUUCGGUUGGAAGGGACCUUAAAGAUCGUCUAGUUCCAAACCCCUGCGAUACACAGGGACACUUUUCACUAGACCAGGUUUCUCAGAGCUCCAUCCAACCUGGCCUUGAAUGCUUCUAGGACUGGGGCAUCCACAAGUUCAUUGAGCAAACCUACUCUCUUCUAGCAUUAAUCCAUUCCACCCUGUCCUGUCACUGCAUGCUCUUGUAAAAAGUGCCUCUCUAUCUUUCUUGCAGGCUCCCUUCAGGUACCGGAAGGCUGCAGUUAGGUCACCCUUAAGCCUUCUCUUUUCCAGGCUGAACAAACCCAGUUUUCUCAGCCUUACUAAGUACAUUUGAUUGAGUUUCUAAGAAAAUAUCCCCUGGAAGGACUUUUCACAAUUUACACUGUCUAAUUAGGAAAUACCCGUCUUUCAUUUGAUUUCAGACUGAGGUGACCAUUUCAGUUUGUGGACAAGAUCAAAUCAAAUUAGGAUUUACAGCCCAUCCACCUCCCUGCCCCCAUCCCCCUUAGUCAAUAAUUUUGAUUUCUCUUUAAGCAAUCCAACCAGAAGUCCAGGGAAGGCAUGAGGUUUUGUAGAAACCUUUUCCUUCUUUUAAAGUUUUAACCAUUAUGCACCCAGAGACUUUUCCCAAAUUUCUAUCUUUCUGAUGAAAAUCAGGGUCUUCCUGGAAGGAGAUCCAGUGAUGCACACUGGUGGUCUUCUCGUCUCUUCAACACACAAGCACAUACAGUUUUUAUGAAGAGAAAACCAAAGCAUAGGCAACAAGGAUGUUUACACAAUCCUCCAGUCUAUUUCCUGAGUCACUAUAACAAGCAGACUACACAUCCAUGCCUUAAGUCGUACAUGCUACAUAGUUCAUGUGCAAUACAUGUACUUUGUAAUGUUUAUUAAACAUGUAUAAGAUUUA